CAGCCAUGGCGCGGUGAAUACGUUCCCGGGCCUUGUACACACCGCCCGUCCAAGCCAUGGGAGCCGGGGUGCUUGAAGUGCGUCGCCGCAAGGCGCGCCCUAGAGCAAAACCGGUGACUGGGCUAAGUCGUAACAAGGUACC
rnacentral:rRNA from 1 species